UUUCUCAUAAAAUAAGCACAUAUACUAAAAACUGGAACGAUACAGAGAAAGUUAGCAUGGCCCCUGCGCACAGAUGACUUGCAAAUUCGUAAAGCAUUCCCUGUUUUU